UAUAAGAUUUUUCUAAAAACUUAAAAUAUUUGGCGGUAAAUAUAUUUUUUAGAGGAACUUGUAUUGUAAUCGAUAAUCCUCGUUUAAUUUUACCUUAAUUUUAUAUUAAUAUAUCGUUGUUUAGGAAUUUUUUAUUGAAUUAAUUUUCUUUAUUCUUUAUUAGAUUUAAAUCAAAUCAAGGUGUUAUUAUAUUAAGGUUUAUUAUGAGUUACAUUUGAUUUUAUUAAUUGUUGGAUAGUUUAUUGAAUUUAGUAUAUUUGAAAUUGGAUUUAAUUGUAAAUAAAUAUUAAAUUGAUUUAUUGAAUUAAUUCUUGUUUGUGU
rnacentral:rRNA from 1 species